rnacentral:lncRNA from 1 species
AGGUCCAUCUCAGCCAGGGUCAUCCCACAGCGCACCAAUUUGAAGGAGCAACUCUCAUCUUUUAUUUAGUUUGAGUCCUUCAUUUUUUUGUCAUGGUAUUGUUGUGUCUUUGUUCAGUAGGCGUCAUGUUUGUUUUAAACGUUAAGGGUCUUUAUUAGGAGUAUUACGCAUGUUAUCUUAUGGGUGUAGAAUGUUGUUUAGUCUUUGUUGAUCAGUUUUAAGUUGUCUUAAAUUUGGAGUUUGUUUUAGUUGUCACUUUUAUGAAAUGUAGUAAUGUUGCGGAAUUGUUUCCUUUUGUGUGUUCCUCGUAAAAAAUAAAAAAAUAAAAAAUCAAGAAUCAAAAUCUUCAACUUUGUGGUGUUUAUGCAUACAUUUCAUGAACUACGCAAGAUCUGAUUCAUGUACAACAUGAUACGUAAGCAACCUACUUUUGGGUUCGAUCUAAUCAUUUUGUUUCUUGUUUUUUUUCAUUAUUUUUCUUUUAUUUUAAGGAAAAACAGAAGUCAUAAAGAAUGAUAAAAGAGAGACAGCGAGAGAGGAAAAGAAAGAAAAAUAAUGAGAGAAGGGAAAAAAGGAUAAAAAAGGGACUGACGAGAGAGAUGAGAGAAGUGAUGGUGAAAAAAAAGAGAGAAGUGAAGGUGAAAAAUAGAAAGAACGAGGUGUGAUAAUGUAAUGGGGAAAUCGGGAUGAUGUUAAAAUGACCUCAUUACCCUCAAAGGUCGGUAUAAAUGUGCAUAAACCUAGGAUGUAUACAAUGUGAUUUCUAUGCUUAUUCCCUGACCUAAUCCUAACGGGUUUUGUCUUUGAUGAGCAUGUCCUUUCAGACAAAAGCGAAGCUUGCCAUGGCUAGUAGGGAGAUUGAAAAUUCACUCAUUGACUCAGAUCAGAAUCCCAGAGAAGAAAGUUCAGAACGCAAUGAUGAGGUAUUGAGACUUAGACAACAAUUUCUAGAUCUGUACCGAGCAUGGGAUAGUGGCAUACCUCCUCCUCCACUCCUUGAAGAUCUUG